CGAGGGGCAGCAUGGUCUUAGCUUGCUAAGGCCGAUGGCGACCGGCGCACGGGUGAGUAACACGUAUCCAACCUGCCGUCUAUUCUUGGACAGCCUUCUGAAAGGAAGAUUAAUACAAGAUGGCAUCAUGAGUCCGCAUGUUCACAUGAUUAAAGGUAUUCCGGUAGACGAUGGGGAUGCGUUCCAUUAGAUAGUAGGCGGGGUAACGGCCCACCUAGUCUUCGAUGGAUAGGGGUUCUGAGAGGAAGGUCCCCCACAUUGGAACUGAGACACGGUCCAAACUCCUACGGGAGGCAGCAGUGAGGAAUAUUGGUCAAUGGGCGAGAGCCUGAACCAGCCAAGUAGCGUGAAGGAUGACUGCCCUAUGGGUUGUAACUUCUUUUAUAAAGGAAUAUAGUCGGGUAUGCAUACCCGUUUGCAUGUACUUUAUGAAUAAGGAUCGGCUAACUCCGUGCCAGCAGCCGCGGUAAUACGGAGGAUCCGAGCGUUAUCCAGAUUUAUUGGGUUUAAAGGGAGCGUAGAUGGAUGUUUAAGUCAGUUGUGAAAGUUUGCGGCUCAACCGUAAAAUUGCAGUUGAUACUGGAUAUCUUGAGUGCAGUUGAGGCAGGCGGAAUUCGUGGUGUAGCGGUGAAAUGCUUAGAUAUCACGAAGAACUCCGAUUGCGAAGGCAGCCUGCUAAGCUGCAACUGACAUUGAGGCUCGA
rnacentral:rRNA from 1 species